GCUGCCAAAAGCAAGCGACACAGUUGGAGCGAUCGUCCAAGUGCGCGGAUCGCUUGAAGAACGAGCUCAUAUAUUAAGUAAUAUAUUACCGCCAAAUUAAUUAAUUUUCAAGUCCAAGUUAAUGUGAUAUUUGUUAUUGUUGUGCAUAAAGUUUGUUAGCAAGUGGGCAAAGGUGCCAACAGUGAGCUAAUUAAUAAAAAGCAAGUUCGUCAGUAGAGAUUGAAAAGCAAAGCCUAUAAGAUGGGAAAGUUCGAGUACUCACUCGGAUUGAAUGAGCUUAAAUCUAAGGAGCUGAGAUUAUGGCAGGCCCUAAUCGGAGAAUUCCUGGGAAAUCUCAUCCUCAAUUUUUUCGCCUGUGGUGCCUGCACUCAAGUGGAGGAUAGCACCUUCAAGGCCCUAGCUUUUGGCUUGGCCAUUUUCAUGGCUAUUACGAUCGUUGGUCAUUUGAGCGGCGGACACGUUAACCCUGCCGUUACUGUGGCCAUGUUAGUUGCUGGUCGAAUAAGUUUUCUCAGAGCCCUUUUCUAUAUAAUCUUCCAAUGUUUGGGAGCCAUUGCGGGAACAGCUGCAGUCAGGACUCUUAUCGACCAGGAUUACUAUAAUGGCCUGGGCCACACGACUCUGGCUCCCAACAUCACGGAACUGCAGGGUCUCGGCAUCGAGUUCUUCCUGGGCUUCCUUUUGGUGCUGACUGUGUUUGGAGCCUGUGACCCCAACAAGCCGGACUCCCGCUUCACGGCACCUCUGGCCAUCGGCAUGGCAGUGACUUUGGGUCAUUUGGGAACCAUUCGGUACACGGGAUCCAGUAUGAAUCCUGCGCGUACCGUGGGCACUGCAUUCGCUACCGGCAAUUGGUCUGCCCACUGGAUCUACUGGGUGGGUCCCAUCCUCGGGGGCGUGACAGCUGCCCUACUCUACACCCAGAUCCUAGAGGCGAAGCCGGAGCCGAAGACGAAUGAGGCCGCCGAGAAGUACCGAACACACGCCGAUGAACGCGAGGUGAGAAUCAGAUUGAUUAAUGCCUGGAGCGAGGAGUACUUCUACUGAUCAUUAUUACCUCGUUACACACUCAUACACAUUCAUGCACACGCACUCACUCACAGAUACACAUUAUGCGAAAAUUGGAAAGUGCACGCGACUUUGCUUAGGAAUGGAGGAAAACUUGGAGUGCCUCGAAUCCAGAGAGAGAAGUGGAAAGGAUCAAUAAGGAUCAUUUAAUGAAUUCAGCUCUGUGUCUAUCCUACUUAUUACCUAUGUUGUUUCCUCGUUCGUGUGUAUUUAUGUAUUUAUUCAUGAAACGUUCAUUUUUUAUUUAACUAAUACAUAAGCUGCCGUAAAAUGCAAUUUACAAACUAAAUUACUUGUACAUGUCUCAUGCCAGCACAAUAAAGUGAAAUGUUAAAAAUAAA